GAUGAACGCUGGCGGCGUGCCUAAUACAUGCAAGUCGAGCGAACGGACGAGAAGCUUGCUUCUCUGAUGUUAGCGGCGGACGGGUGAGUAACACGUGGAUAACCUACCUAUAAGACUGGGAUAACUUCGGGAAACCGGAGCUAAUACCGGAUAAUAUUUUGAACCGCAUGGUUCAAAAGUGAAAGACGGUCUUGCUGUCACUUAUAGAUGGAUUCGCGCUGCAUUAGCUAGUUGGUAAGGUAACGGCUUACCAAGGCAACGAUGCAUAGCCGACCUGAGAGGGUGAUCGGCCACACUGGAGCUGAGACACGGUCCAGACUCCUACGGGAGGCAGCAGUAGGGAAUCUUCCGCAAUGGGCGAAAGCCUGACGGAGCAACGCCGCGUGAGUGAUGAAGGUCUUCGGAUCGUAAAACUCUGUUAUUAGGGAAGAACAUAUGUGUAAGUAACUGUGCACAUCUUGACGGUACCUAAUCAGAAAGCCACGGCUAACUACGUG
rnacentral:rRNA from 1 species